AGUGAACGCUGGCGGUAGGCCUAACACAUGCAAGUCGAACGGCAGCACAGUAAGAGCUUGCUCUUACGGGUGGCGAGUGGCGGACGGGUGAGGAAUACAUCGGAAUCUACUUUUUCGUGGGGGAUAACGUAGGGAAACUUACGCUAAUACCGCAUACGACCUACGGGUGAAAGCAGGGGAUCUUCGGACCUUGCGCGAUUGAAUGAGCCGAUGUCGGAUUAGCUAGUUGGCGGGGUACAGGCCCACCAAGGCGACGAUCCGUAGCUGGUCUGAGAGGAUGAUCAGCCACACUGGAACUGAGACACGGUCCAGACUCCUACGGGAGGCAGCAGUGGGGAAUAGUGGACAAAGGGCGGAAGCCUGAUCCAGCCAUACCGCGUGGGUGAAGAAGGCCUUCGGGUUGUAAAGCCCUUUUGUUGGGAAAGAAAAGCAGCAGGUUAAUACCCCGCUGUUCUGACGGUACCCAAAGAAUAAGCACCGGCUAACUUCGUG
rnacentral:rRNA from 1 species